rnacentral:misc_RNA from 1 species
UCCGAGUUGUCCCCGGCAGUCCCUUUAGAGUCCCCGGCAUUACCCGCUGGCAACUAAAGGCAGGGGUUGCGCUCGUUGCGGCACUUAAGCCUACCCCUCACGACACGAGCUGACGACAGCCAUGCAGCACCUGUGCACGAUCUCCGAAGAGGGGCUCUCGUUUCUGAGAGCUUGCUCGUACAUGUCAAGGCCUGGUAAGGUUCUUCGCGUUGCUUCGAAUUAAACCACAUGCUCCACCGCUUGUGCGGGCCCCCGUCAAUUCAUUUGAGUUUUAACCUUGCGGCCGUACUCCCCAGGCGGUCAACUUAAUGCGUUAGCUGCGCCACUAAGAGCUCAAGGCUCCCAACGGCUAGUUGACAUCGUUUACGGCGUGGACUAC